AAAUAGAGCCCCCCUCCCAAUUUCAGGCAUAGGCCUUAGCAACAACAGCAUUUACCUAAGGAUGAAAAACACUUAGGCUACUGCUCUUCAACUAGUCAGUGAUCAAUAAAAAACUUGAGAAGCAUAAUAUUCGCUCUCAUUAAAUACAGGUCUUAAAUCUUCCUUGCACAUGAAAUCCAAAGGCAAAGAAACAAGAUGUCCACGGACUGCCUGCAAUCUCUCCAUGGGAUCAGUUUUUUUUAUGUCUCCAUUUUGGUAAGAUUCAAGCUUUUCUGGGGCUAUUCCUAAAUCAAUGGUAGUGUGGCCAAGUCUGUCCUUCCAAAAGGCCAUGCUUUGUCUAACUGCAGCUCUGGAAUGUAUAAGAUCACUGGGAAUGCAAGAAAAGACAUCCUGGUAGAUGGUGGUAUUUGUCUUUGCAGUUGCGACCCACAGGUCUUUGUAUGUUGAAUCAACUACUGGGUCUAUUAUUUGAUUGAUCUCUUUGGCUUUAAUACCAAGGUGUUCAGACCACAACGAAAGGCGAAGACUCAAAGAAAAUUUUCCAGCUUUCCAAGGCUUCCCUCCCAUUGCCGAGUCAACCAACUCUUUGUCUUCAAUAAGUACACCAAUCUCUGAAUCUCGUGAACCAAGCAAACUCCUAUCGUUGAUAUUAGCAGAUCCAAUCAAAGUUGCACAGUCAUCAAUCAUCAUGAUUUUACUAUGCACAUACACCUGACUGGUGGCCACUGGACCACCAUCAAAAAGUCGGCCAUAAGCUCUAAGACCAUAAAAGGAAAUGUAAUCGUGUGUUUUUGGACCAAGAACAUCAUAAAGAUUAUGCAAUAUUGAAUUUUG
rnacentral:misc_RNA from 1 species